CUUUUUGUUGUUGUUGUUGUUGUUGUUGCUAUUUCUUGGGCCGCUCCCGCGGCAUAUGGAGGUUCCCAGGCUAGGGGUUGAAUCGGAGCUGUAGCCACCGGCCUACGCCAGAGCCACAGCAACGCGGGAUCCGAGCCGCGUCUGCAACCUACACCACAGCUCACGGCAACGCUGGAUCGUUAACCCACUGAGCAAGGGCAGGGAUCGAACCCGCAACCUCAUGGUUUCUAGUUGGAUUCGUUAACCGCUGCGCCACGACGGGAACUCCACAUUCAUAAAUGUUAAAAACACCAGUCAGAUUUCAGUUCAUCCAUCCUCCUGUAAGGAUUGUCUCAGACUGAAACUGUGGAUUCUCUUGACUUAGGAUUUAAACCCCUAUCACUCCCCCUCCCAGCUCGAUUGAUUAGGAAACUGGUGCAGUGAUAUCGGAGUGGAAUGAGAGAAAACCAAGAAGUCAUCCAUUACAAAAACUGUCCAUAAAGUCUGCUCCUAAUUUGAAUACAAAAUGUUUUAACAAGCAAGAAUUUAACCACUGCUGGAGUUCCCUUGUCAGUGCAUGGGAACUCCUACAAAAAUUUUUAUUGAAGUAUAGCUGAUUUACAGUGUUUUGUCCCCUUCCAGUUUGAAUAGCCUAAACCUUAUUUGUGGGGCAAGGAUAUCUCAUCUACCUUCCCAAAGUCUCCACCUUUUUCCCUACGGGGAAAUUUCAAGGACAUGUAAUUGCUUUUCCAGAAAAUAUGUGUUAGUAAUUAUUUGCCCUUGUGAUCCAUUCCAAAAGGAGAAUGGUCAUAGAACCUAACUAAUAAAUCACAUAUCCUUUGCAUCACUUAUAUAAAAAUAUUCUGAUCCCCAAAUUAAAAAAAAAAAAAAGAAUUUUAAUCAUCCAAUGCACAGGACUAGCUAAAGCACACACACACACACACACAUGCUUACACCAAAAAGCUGAAUCAUCCACAUUUCUUGUAGUCAAGAUGAGAAGAGGAAAUUGUGUUUUCCUAUGAAAGAUGCUAGUAUUUCCUCUAUCCUCAACUGUUGUUGAGCUUUACCUUAUUUUAUAGUACCUUUUACUCAAAUUUAGUUUUAUCUCAAAGAUGUGGUUUAGAAAUACCAGUUUAGGAGUUCAUUGUGGCUCAGUGGGUUAAGGACCCACUAUAGCCUCUGUGCAGAUGCGAGUUCGGCCCUGGCCUCACCCAGUGGGUGAAGGGACUGGCAUUGCAGUAAGCUGCAACAUAGAUUGCAGGUGUGGCUUGGAUCCAGCAUUACUGUGGCUGUGCCAUAGGUUUCAGCUGCAGCUCCAAUUCGACCCCUAGCCUGGAAACUAAGAAGAAAAAGAAGGUUUUCCAGCUUAAACUUCCAAAAAGAGAGUGUCAUGUUUUUGACCAUGAGAUAUUGUAGGUGUACAAUAACUAUGCUGUUCUAGUUAGUAAAUAUUAUCCAUUGGACAUUCUUGGACAUGGUGGCCACUUUCCAUAGGUCUGUGAUUCAGUAACAUCAGAAAAUAUCACAAAGUACAUUUCAAAAAGAAUAAAAGCUAUGAUUUUGUAAAUUAUUUUACCACCUGAAUGUUUUUUUCUUUAUUGAAAAAGUACCCUUCACAGAGCCCUCCCGUCAGCUUUGAGAGAAAGGGCCAUGAUACUGUCACCCCAAAGAGUGACCUGAGAGACUUCACCAGACGUACGCUUGACAUAUGUUCAUUAUUGAGAUUUUCCUGUGUCGAGAACAACAGACUUUUUAUGACCAAUGAGAAAUAUGGAGUCUCAACUGAGCACGGUUUGGAAAGUAUGAGGCAGACAGUGAGACUUCAUUAGUAUUAUAAUAGAAAUGCUGAUUAAGUGUAUACUUUCUUUAACAGAUGCUGAAAUGCCAAUUCUCAAGAAAUUUGAGGUAAUAUAUAUUGAGUGCCAUAUUUUCUAAGAGAUCAAAAUUCUUUUAAGCAAUAUAUCCUUUUUGUAGCCCUACAAUAAAUAGAAAAUAAAUAUAAUAAAUAUAAAUUUCCUGAGACUUGGAAAAAUGUGCAUUUUUUAGAAUGAUAGAAAAUGUGAAUCCUUCUGCAUGGUUCAGAAGUUUAAACUAUCACAGCUGAACAUUAGGGUUUUUUCAUUUUCUAGAGACAUGCGUACCACCGUCUGAACGUUCUACUGUAUUUUAAAAGGAGCCAAAUGAGCACUAUCAUUUAAUACUAAGCAGUAAAUACAAAUACACUAGAGGAUGUAAUCGAAGUGUUACCAAAAAUUGUCUCAUUCGUGAUAAGCUUCAUGUGUUUGAUAAUAUGGCUGCUUUCAUUGCAAAAUAAAGCCAACCUCACAAACCUAACACAAGCUCUUCUGUACAGAAUCACUUGGCUGUCUGCAAGCUAGCAAAGAGGCGUCAGAUGCUUCUCUGCUGCUUCAUUUCAUCCUGGAUCCCACUUGCCAUAGGCCUCCCUACCUCAGGUUUCCAAAGGAAAGAAGUCACUUUGAGCAUAGGAACUUGUCCCCCCAAAAAUGAAGCAUGAGACCCCUGAGGCCAUUGGACUGAAUGGGAACUGAAACUGGACAAAUAGUUUCCCUCAUUCGAUGCCAACAGAGUUUGGCUCCUUUUCCAAAUUUGUCGUUCUCUCAACUGUGAGUCAGAGCUCAAGCUAAUGAAAUCCUGGGAAGGAAAGGAUUUUGCAGGUUUUCAUGGGGAAUCUAAUUCUUUUUUUUUUUUUUUU
rnacentral:lncRNA from 1 species